CGCGUAGGCGGCCGAUCAAGUCGGAGGUGAAAUCCCUCGGCUCAACUGAGGAAUUGCCUUCGAUACUGUUCGGCUUGAGUCCUGGAGAGGGUAGUGGAAUUCCCGGUGUAGCGGUGAAAUGCGUAGAGACCGGGAAGAACACCAGUGGCGAAGGCGGCUACCUGGACAGGUACUGACGCUGAAGCGCGAAGCUAGGGGAGCAAACA
rnacentral:rRNA from 1 species